rnacentral:rRNA from 1 species
CGAGGGGCAGCAUGAACUUAGCUUGCUAAGUUUGAUGGCGACCGGCGCACGGGUGAGUAACACGUAUCCAACCUGCCGAUGACUCGGGGAUAGCCUUUCGAAAGAAAGAUUAAUACCCGAUGGCAUAGUUCUUCCGCAUGGUGGAACUAUUAAAGAAUUUCGGUCAUCGAUGGGGAUGCGUUCCAUUAGGUUGUUGGCGGGGUAACGGCCCACCAAGCCUUCGAUGGAUAGGGGUUCUGAGAGGAAGGUCCCCCACAUUGGAACUGAGACACGGUCCAAACUCCUACGGGAGGCAGCAGUGAGGAAUAUUGGUCAAUGGACGAGAGUCUGAACCAGCCAAGUAGCGUGAAGGAUGACUGCCCUAUGGGUUGUAAACUUCUUUUAUACGGGAAUAAAGUGAGGCACGCGUGCCUUUUUGUAUGUACCGUAUGAAUAAGGAUCGGCUAACUCCGUGCCAGCAGCCGCGGUAAUACGGAGGAUCCGAGCGUUAUCCGGAUUUAUUGGGUUUAAAGGGAGCGUAGGCGGACGCUUAAGUCAGUUGUGAAAGUUUGCGGCUCAACCGUAAAAUUGCAGUUGAUACUGGGUGUCUUGAGUACAGUAGAGGCAGGCGGAAUUCGUGGUGUAGCGGUGAAAUGCUUAGAUAUCACGAAGAACUCCGAUUGCGAAGGCAGCUUGCUGGACUGUAACUGACGCUGAUGCUCGAAAGUGUGGGUAUCAAACAGGAUUAGAUACCCUGGUAGUCCACACAGUAAACGAUGAAUACU